rnacentral:rRNA from 1 species
CGAAUGCUGACAUAAGUAACGAUAAAGCGGGUGAAAAGCCCGCUCGCCGGAAGACCAAGGGUUCCUGUCCAACGUUAAUCGGGGCAGGGUGAGUCGACCCCUAAGGCGAGGCCGAAAGGCGUAGUCGAUGGGAAACGGGUUAAUAUUCCCGUACUUGGUGUUACUGCGAAGGGGGGACGGAGAAGGCUAUGUUGGCCGGGCGACGGUUGUCCCGGUUUAAGCGUGUAGGUAUGUGUUCCAGGUAAAUCCGGUUCACUUUAACACUGAGGCGUGACGACGAGGCACUACGGUGCUGAAGCAACAAAUGCCCUGCUUCCAGGAAAAGCCUCUAAGCAUCAGGUAACAUCAAAUCGUACCCCAAACCGACACAGGUGGUCAGGUAGAGAAUACCAAGGCGCUUGAGAGAACUCGGGUGAAGGAACUAGGCAAAAUGGUGCCGUAACUUCGGGAGAAGGCACGCUGACACGUAGGUGAAGUGAUUUACUCACGGAGCUGAAGUCAGCCGAAGAUACCAGCUGGCUGCAACUGUUUAUUAAAAACACAGCACUGUGCAAACACGAAAGUGGACGUAUACGGUGUGACGCCUGCCCGGUGCCGGAAGGUUAAUUGAUGGGGUCAGCGCAAGCGAAGCUCCUGAUCGAAGCCCCGGUAAACGGCGGCCGUAACUAUAACGGUCCUAAGGUAGCGAAAUUCCUUGUCGGGUAAGUUCCGACCUGCACGAAUGGCGUAAUGAUGGCCAGGCUGUCUCCACCCGAGACUCAGUGAAAUUGAACUCGCUGUGAAGAUGCAGUGUACCCGCGGCAAGACGGAAAGACCCCGUGAACCUUUACUAUAGCUUGACACUGAACAUUGAGCCUUGAUGUGUAGGAUAGGUGGGAGGCUUUGAAGUGUGGACGCCAGUCUGCAUGGAGCCGACCUUGAAAUACCACCCUUUAAUGUUUGAUGUUCUAACGUGGACCCGUGAUCCGGGUUGCGGACAGUGUCUGGUGGGUAGUUUGACUGGGGCGGUCUCCUCCUAAAGAGUAACGGAGGAGCACGAAGGUUGGCUAAUCCUGGUCGGACAUCAGGAGGUUAGUGCAAUGGCAUAAGCCAGCUUGACUGCGAGCGUGACGGCGCGAGCAGGUGCGAAAGCAGGUCAUAGUGAUCCGGUGGUUCUGAAUGGAAGGGCCAUCGCUCAACGGAUAAAAGGUACUCCGGGGAUAACAGGCUGAUACCGCCCAAGAGUUCAUAUCGACGGCGGUGUUUGGCACCUCGAUGUCGGCUCAUCACAUCCUGGGGCUGAAGUAGGUCCCAAGGGUAUGGCUGUUCGCCAUUUAAAGUGGUACGCGAGCUGGGUUUAGAACGUCGUGAGACAGUUCGGUCCCUAUCUGCCGUGGGCGCUGGAGAACUGAGGGGGGCUGCUCCUAGUACGAGAGGACCGGAGUGGACGCAUCACUGGUGUUCGGGUUGUCAUGCCAAUGGCACUGCCCGGUAGCUAAAUGCGGAAGAGAUAAGUGCUGAAAGCAUCUAAGCACGAAACUUGCCCCGAGAUGAGUUCUCCCUGAGACUUUAGGUCUCCUGAAGGAACGUUGAAGACGACGACGUUGAUAGGCCGGGUGUGUAAGCGCAGCGAUGCGUUGAGCUAACCGGUACUAAUGAACCGUGAGGCUUAACCUUACAACGCCGAAG